GCGGCGUGCUUAACACAUGCAAGUCGAACGGAAAGGCCCUGCUUUUGUGGGGUGCUCGAGUGGCGAACGGGUGGGUAACACGUGAGUAACCUGCCCUUGACUUUGGGAUAACUUCAGGAAACUGGGGCUAAUACCGGAUAGGAGCUCCUGCUGCAUGGUGGGGGUUGGAAAGUUUCGGCGGUUGGGGAUGGACUCGCGGCUUAUCAGCUUGUUGGUGGGGUAGUGGCUUACCAAGGCUUUGACGGGUAGCCGGCCUGAGAGGGUGACCGGCCACAUUGGGACUGAGAUACGGCCCAGACUCCUACGGGAGGCAGCAGUGGGGAAUAUUGCACAAUGGGCGGAAGCCUGAUGCAGCAACGCCGCGUGCGGGAUGACGGCCUUCGGGUUGUAAACCGCUUUCGCCUGUGACGAAGCGUGAGUGACGGUAAUGGGUAAAGAAGCACCGGCUAACUACGUGCCAGCAGCCGCGGUGAUACGUAGGGUGCGAGCGUUGUCCGGAUUUAUUGGGCGUAAAGGGCUCGUAGGUGGUUGAUCGCGUCGGAAGUGUAAUCUUGGGGCUUAACCCUGAGCGUGCUUUCGAUACGGGUUGACUUGAGGAAGGUAGGGGAGAAUGGAAUUCCUGGUGGAGCGGUGGAAUGCGCAGAUAUCAGGAGGAACACCAGUGGCGAAGGCGGUUCUCUGGGCCUUUCCUGACGCUGAGGAGCGAAAGCGUGGGGAGCGAACAGGCUUAGAUACCCUGGUAGUCCACGCUGUAAACGGUGGGUACUAGGUGUGGGGUCCAUUCCACGGGUUCCGUGCCGUAGCUAACGCUUUAAGUACCCCGCCUGGGGAGUACGGCCGCAAGGCUAAAACUCAAAGGAAUUGACGGGGCCCCGCACAAGCGGCGGAGCAUGCGGAUUAAUUCGAUGCAACGCGUAGAACCUUACCUGGGUUUGACAUGGAUCGGGAGUGCUCAGAGAUGGGUGUGCCUCUUUUGGGGUCGGUUCACAGGUGGUGCAUGGCUGUCGUCAGCUCGUGUCGUGAGAUGUUGGGUUAAGUCCCGCAACGAGCGCAACCCUUGUUCACUGUUGCCAGCACGUUAUGGUGGGGACUCAGUGGAGACCGCCGGGGUCAACUCGGAGGAAGGUGGGGAUGACGUCAAGUCAUCAUGCCCCUUAUGUCCAGGGCUUCACGCAUGCUACAAUGGCUGGUACAGAGAGUGGCGAGCCUGUGAGGGUGAGCGAAUCUCGGAAAGCCGGUCUCAGUUCGGAUUGGGGUCUGCAACUCGACCUCAUGAAGUCGGAGUCGCUAGUAAUCGCAGAUCAGCAACGCUGCGGUGAAUACGUUCCCGGGGCUUGUACACACCGCCCGUCAAGUCAUGAAAGUUGGUAACACCCGAAGCCGGUGGCCUAACCGAUGUGGGGGAGCCGUCGAAGGUGGGACUGGUGAUU
rnacentral:rRNA from 1 species